CUCUUGAAUGUAUAGCUUAUAAAAAGAAACUCCUAAUGGAACAGACUUUCCUUCCUUCGCAUAUACAAGAAGUGCUUUCCUAAACAGCAUUCUUUUAUUCAGAGGGUUAGCGCUCUCCCUGAUACUUGUGACAGGUGUACAGGGCCCACAGACAUGCUCCCUUCCUCCAGACAUGUGGACACAGGGAAAUGGUUCUCAGGUCUAUAUUUUUAAACAUAUCGGGCUCCCAUGACAACCCAGCAUCACUCUGUGUCUUUGUCUUCUUAAAUGUCUGUGGCUUUCAUUACAACCAUUUCUCAGAACCACAGGGAAGACUGACUAGGUUUCCAUGGGGGAUUUUUCCCAUCAAGGUGCAGAAGCCAUGUAUCACCACCAUCACAAAACACUCCUGCAAAACUAGCUACUAUAGAGAUAUUUUCCCUAGCUACAAAAUUAAUCUCUCUCUCUCUCUCUCUCUCUCUCUCUCUCUCUCUCUCUCUCUCUCUCUCUCUCUCUCUCUCUCUCUCUCUCUCUCUCUCUCUCUCUCUCUCUCUCUCUCUCUCUCACACACACACACACACACACACACACACACACACACACACACACACACACACACACACACACACACACACACACACACACACACAAGCAUGACUCUUAAUGAGAAAAAAAUAGUAUUAAAUGAUUGAAUUAAAAAUAAAAUUCCUUCUCAUGUCGGUGGCACCUCCCAACAAACAAACAAACAAUAAAAUAAGUAAAGGUGUUCAUCUUAUUAUCAUUUUUCUUUCAUUAUAAUUUUUGCUCCUUUUUUAUUUGCUAAUUCUUUUCUUUUCAUGAAUUUAUUACUAUCUCAAUUGUUUAAACAGGAAGAAGGAGAAGAAGAAGAAGAAGAAGACACACAGAGAGAGAAGAGGAGGAAGAAGAAGAGGAAGGACUUGUAAUAUGGCAGACAUCAAACCAAUGAAUCGAGCGGCUGAGUGGACUCCAUCUCUUGAGGGGCGGCUUCGUAUCCCAGUGUGAUCUCCUGCAAGGCAUCCCAGCACACACCACAUGCUCUGGAGGGGGAGAGAACGAAGUCAAGAUGAAUCGGCCUUGUCCAUUUUGAUUUUGCUCUCAAUAAACAUAGACCCUAAGA